rnacentral:lncRNA from 1 species
CCAUUAGCUAGGACUGGGUUGCUUUUAUUCUUUCUCAAAUUGGGUCCUUGAGAAUGAGUGGGAGUGCGUCUUCAUAGAAAUGUUAUCAGUUGUCUCAACAUUUUGCUUGUUUCUGUUUGAUGUGUGAUUAUCAUGUGCAUCUCUCUCAGGGAGGUUUGAUGUGUGAUUAUCAUGUGCAUCUCUCUCAGGGAGGUUUGAUGUGGGAUUAUAAUGUGCAUCUCUCUCAGGGAGGUUUUAUGUGUGAUUAUGUGUACCUCUCUCAGGGAGGUUUGAUGUGUGAUAAUAAUGUGUACCUCUCUCAGGGAGGUUUGAUGUGUGAUU